CACGGGGGGAGCAAGCGUUGUUCGGAAUCACUGGGCGUAAAGGGCGUGUAGGCGGUCAAGUAAGUGGAAUGUGAAAUGCCCCGGCUCACCCGGGGACCGGCAUCCCAAACUGCUUGGCUUGAGUAUGGGAGAGGAUGAGGGAAUUCCUGGUGUAGCGGUGAAAUGCGCAGAUAUCAGGAGGAACACCGGUGGCGAAGGCGGAUCUCUGGGCCUUACCUGACGCUCAGGCGCGAAAGCUAGGGGAGCGAACAGG
rnacentral:rRNA from 1 species